UAGGGAAUCUUCCGCAAUGGACGCAAGUCUGACGGAGCAACGCCGCGUGAGUGAAGAAGGAUUUCGGUUCGUAAAACUCUGUUGUUAGAGAAGAACAGCGCAUAGAGUAACUGUUAUGCGUGUGACGGUAUCUAACCAGAAAGCCACGGCUAACUACGUGCCAGCAGCCGCGGUAAUACGUAGGUGGCAAGCGUUGUCCGGAUUUAUUGGGCGUAAAGCGAGCGCAGGCGGUCAAUUAAGUCUGAUGUGAAAGCCCCCGGCUCAACCGGGGAGGGUCAUUGGAAACUGGUUGACUUGAGUGCAGAAGAGGAGAGUGGAAUUCCAUGUGGAGCGGUGAAAUGCGUAGAUAUAUGGAGGAACACCAGUGGCGAAGGCGACUCGCUGGUCUGUAACUGACGCUGAGGCUCGAAAGCGUGGGUAGCAAACAGG
rnacentral:rRNA from 1 species